GAUGAACGCUGGCGGCGUGCUUGAUACAUGCAAGUCGAACGGAGAGUGUAGCAAUAUACUUUUAGUGGCGAACGGGUGAGUAACGCGUUGGUGACCUGCCCCGAAGCGAGGGAUAACAGUUCGAAAGAACUGCUAAUACCUCAUGUGAUCACCGGUUUUAGAAUCUGGUGAUUAAAGGUGAAAAUCACUUCGGGAGGGGCCUGCGUCCCAUCAGCUAGUUGGUAAGGUAAUGGCUUACCAAGGCGAUGACGGGUAGGGGACCUGAGAGGGUGGCCCCCCACAAUGGAACUGAAACACGGUCCACUACACCUACGGGUGGCAGCAGUAGGGAAUAUUGCAAAUGGGCGAAAGCCUGAUGUAGCAACGCCGCGUGUGCGAUGAAGGUCUUCGGAUUGUAAAGCACUUUUUGGAGGGAUGAGGAAGGACAGUACCUCCAGAAUAAGCCUCGGCUAACUACGUG
rnacentral:rRNA from 1 species